AAAUGAUCAUAUAUUUUUCCUAACGGUAAGGGGUAGAAGAGGAUGGAGAGGGAAAAAGGUAAUGGCUAGAGAGAUGGAAAAGAGAAAAAAUGGAAAAAAAAAUAAUGAAAAUUAAAAAUAUUAAAUAACUAUAAAAUAUGUUGAUUUGGAUUUCCCAUCUUAAAGGAAAAAUAAUAAAGAUUUUAGUGAUAGUCAAAUCGAAAUUCAAGGAGUUUUUGCGAUAAAAUCGAUAUUUAAUGACGGUACUGCCACACCAGUCUCAGUUCACGCGACCCCAGCCACCUGCACAUCGGCCCUGGAACAUUUAAGAGGCCACGAAAUAGGGAAAUUACCUUCUGAUGCCGCACACACGAUGGUGGGUCAGCAGAUAUGUGAAACUAUGAAGAAACAUACCACCACUUCACUCUCAUUUAUCAGCCUUGUUCUCCAGUCAUACACUAGAAUUGGUAAAUGCAUAAUGAAAAUUGACACACAAGUCCACGCUGUUCAACUCACACUGCAAUGUAAUUCAGAUGGAUAAGCUCACUCAAAAUACUGGCCAAUUUCAUUUGAGUAUUGAGGAGAAUUGUGUACUUUCCACAAGCAAAAUUACUCUCCAAGCUACUUUGUUCCUGAAUCAGGACUGAGGUCCCCAUAUGAAACCAAACCCCUCUGUCCAGAGGGCGAGCUCGAUCUAGACCUGCUGGCAGGCUUGCUGCGAUGCUUUGGUGGUACAGCAUUAGGAGAUCUGGAAGGAGAGAAUCCACGGCUCCUAGACCUAGAACUGGACCUUGACCUCAAUAUCCCUUUGUCCAAAGAGUGCUGAUCAUCAAUUCUGGCACCCAGACGAGACUUCAGACCCAUGCUUAUGGCAGGUCGCUUGUCUCUGGGACUAGGACUGCGAAUUGGACUCUGGCUCCGGCUUUGAUCCUUGUAAUGGCCACGAUAACUGCCAGGACUACGAGAAAUGCUCCUGCUUCGGCUUCUACGAUUCCUGUAUCUACAAAGAAUCAAAAUCAGAUGCAUAAGUCAUUAACUUGUAAAGAACACUUCUGUUACAUAAUUUGAACCUCUAAAACUGAAAAAAACAAAAAAACAAAAAUGAGUUUAGGACACCAAGGAUGCUCAAAAUAUCUGUAGGGGUCUGACAAAAAAAGAAAUACUUUUUGGGGUUGAGGGGCACAGGAGGACUCGUACAAGAUCAAUUUUACUGCAAUCUUGUUAAACCCAGGAGCUAAUUUUAUCAAAUCUCUGAAACAAACCUCUUGGACAGUAACAAGAAAAAGGAAGAGAGGGAAGGGAAGGAGAACCUCGAGGGGCUUCUGCCUCUUGGUGGGCUUCUGUAGCGCCUGUGUGAUAACCGCUCAGAGAAACUUCUAUCACGGUUUCUUUCAUUAAAAUUUCUUCCACCAUAACGGUAAGACCUCCGAGGUGAUUUCUCCGGAGAAGGAGUACGGUAUCGACGUGCAAAGGAAUAACGUUCAGUGAAGCCACGCCCUUUUCUAAUGCGCUUGGGAGUGCCAUUUGGAGACGGGCUUCUCAAUAAACCCUUUCUGUGGUCAGAGUUAGAAGGUUCAGGGGCUUUAAGGGCAAGGUUGCCCAAUGGACUCCUUGAAGACCUUUCCUGGCUUGGCUCACCAGACUUCCUAGCAGGGCUUCUACUGUUGGUCCUGAAUCUUGUACUUUGGGGAACCUUUUUGGGACUCAUACUUCGACUACUCCUAUGGCUGUUGUUUGGCCUUCUUUUGGGGCUUCGAAUGGGACUGCUUGAUUUAUUUGAGUCAUCAGAAUAAGUAUGGCGAUUAGUAGCCCUCUCAAAUUUAGAAUCUAUGCCAUUCCGAUUGUUUACAUGCUCGUCAUCCUUUGACGACAAUUCACCUUCUUCAUUCGACAUGUUUGCCUCAGUUGUUUUUGGCUUAUGAUCCUUUCCGGUGUCAGCUUCUUUUCCUAAGUGAUCAGUUGGAGAUUUUUUCCUCACAUCAAGAUUCUCCAAUUUCUUUUCAGCAAGAGUUGAGUUAUUGGUUUUUCGUGCAGAAAAACAAUGAUCAGCUUCUUUAUCAUCAGAACUGCUACUGGUACUACUAAUCUCUGUAUCACUAGAACUUCCAGAAGUCCAUUUAGACUUGCGCUUUGAUCGCUUAUCACGCCGGACUCUCUUCCUCUCCCUCCGACCAUCCCUUCGUUUCCUCCCACGUAGGCGUCUAUCUCUUUUUACUGACCUCCUCUUCCUAACUCGCCUUCCAUCACUAGAUGAACCAGAAUCAGAUAGUGAGGAAUCUGAAACUGAUUCUGAAUCUGAAUCAGUACCAGAAUCUGAAUCGUAGUCAGAACUGUAUGAAUCAGAUGAUGAGUAUCUCUUUUUUCUUUUCUUUCUUUUAUCCUUCAGGGAUUUUUUUUGCUUUCCUCUAGUUUGUCCAUCAGAACUAUCACCAGAAGGAGCCUUCCCUGAUUUCUUCUUCUUUCCUGCAUUUCCAACAGCAUCCUGAAUUUUAUUUUCAGAGGUUUCACCACAAUCUACAAUUUUUACAGGGUGGAUGGGUUUUCCAUCACCUGUUCCCACCUGUUCAAUUUUUUUCACAACAUCCAUUCCUUUUAUGACCUUUCCAAAGACAACAUGUUUCCCAUCCAGGUGGGGCUGACGUUUAAAAGUUAUGAAGAAUUGGGAACCAUUUGUGUUUGGACCACUAUUUGCCAUAGAAAGAAGACCUGGUCCAUCAUGCUUCAGUAUAAAAUUCUCAUCUGCAAACUUCCCUCCAAAUAUACUUUCUCCACCAGUGCCAUUUCCCUUUGAAAAGUCACCACCUUGGGCCAUGAAUCCUCUAAUAAUUCGAUGGAAAAAGGAUCCUUUAUAGUGGAGAGGUUUGCCAGUUGUUUUGCCAUUGCCCUUUUCACCUGUACAAAGUGCCCGGAAAUUAUCUGCAGUCUUGGGAACAACAUCGGCAAAAAGCUCAAUAGCAAUUCUUUCAACAGGAUCUCCAUCAAUUGACACAUCAAAAAAUACAAGAGGGUUCUUUUUCUUGUUCAUCUCUCCUAUCUCUUGAACACUUGCAGGAGGCUAAUUGAACUAGGGAUUGCGACUCCAGGACUCAAGCAGCGGCGAUAAUCGCACCAGAGUGAAGUGAGAGAGUAGCUAUGCUUGCGUUGCGACUUGCGACUUUGCGAGGGAUUUUACCUGCUAAAAUUAAUUUUUUCCACGUCAGUGUGCUGGGCUAGAAUCUCCUACAGAUGAAGUACAAAAUGAUCAAUUCUGUGCGAGCCACGUUUCCACUUGGAAAUGAUUCUUGGGGUUUCAG
rnacentral:misc_RNA from 1 species